AAAGAACAAUUAUAGAGGUUACUCUGAUCAAGGAGCAUUGGACACAUAAAUGAAUGACGUAAAUUGUAACUCCCUUGUACAACCAUUUGAAGUUUAGAAAAUU